UACAGAGGGUGCGAGCGUUAAUCGGAAUUACUGGGCGUAAAGCGUGCGUAGACGGUUAUUUAAGUCGGGUGUGAAAGCCCCGGGCUCAACCUGGGAAUUGCAUUCGAGACUGAAUAGCUAGGGUUCGGAAGAGGGAAGCGGAAUUUCCGGUGUAGCGGUGAAAUGCGUAGAUAUCGGAAGGAACACCAGUGGCGAAAGCGGCUUCCUGGUCCAGAACCGACGUUGAGGCACGAAAGCGUGGGGAGCAAACAGG
rnacentral:rRNA from 1 species